rnacentral:misc_RNA from 1 species
GUGUGUGUUCAUUUCGCAACCCGUUUGUUGCGUGUGCAUUGUUGACGAACUGCGCAUUUGCCUAUCGCCUAGUGAAAGGGGCGUUUACGAGAGCACUGCAGGGUUUCGCGGGUGACACUCUUGUUGUUUUACGUAAAAGGCGUUAUUUUCCAAUGCUGUCGUUCGUUUCUGCGUUGUGGUGGCAUGCGCGACACGGUGUGGAUAUGCCGGGGUUCUUGCCCGGAGUGCGCUGCGGCCUCUCGUCUGGGCUUGUUCGGAACCGAAUGAUAUGGUCGGCUGCCACAGCGGCCAAGGGUGGGAAACCCAAAGAGGCUAGUCGCGAGCAGGCGAAGCGCCCCGAACGCAAGGACGACGACAGGGGCUUUCAAAAGGGUGGCGGCGGUGGUGGCGGUGGUGGUAACGGCAGCGGCAAACCUACCAAGCGCGACAAGUAAUGUGGAAAUAGCGGCGUUUAGCGGUGGCAAGACGGCGUGCAAGCGUUCGGAGGAGCGUCAUGGAAGCCUGUAUGCGGGUGGCGUGCAGCUAGGUUUCCGGUCAGAGAGCGUUACGUAAACGAGAACUGGUCUUCGUGACAUCGUUUGCUGCAUCAUUCGCCAUUUGGACGUCCAGAACAGCGCUUUCGAGCUCGCAUAUGCCGUGUUUUUUCUCUCUCUCAGUCGCGUUGGUAUGUCAGCAAUGCGAAACGAUUGCGAGAGCGGAACCGGAAAACGCGUAUCCUCGCAUACACGGCUGGACGUUGUGCAGCCACGAGGCGGCAAGUCGCCAGGCACCUCAGUUCCCUGCAUCGCUGGCGCGAUACUCCUUACCUAAAGGUAGCCGCGCUCGGGUUGUCCGCCGCAUUUUCCUCAUACAGAUUCGGUCUGGCAUUGUCGGCUUUCUGGGAUCCGCUCUAGCGCCAGAACCUCCUCUUCGUGCUCUUGGAGCCAAUGCUCUGCAUCCAUUGCAGCCAUACAACCGCUACCCGCUGCAGUAACCGCUUGGCGGUACCGUUUGUCCUGCACAUCGCCCGCUGCAAAAACGCCGUCCACGCUCGUUUGUGUCGUUCCUGGUUUCGUAAUGAUGUAGCCUUGAUCGUCAAGAAGCAACUGCCCUUUCAGGAAUGCAGUCGCCGGCACAUGGCCAAUGGCAAAAAAUAGACCACCAACCUCGAGUUCGUGCUUUUGAUCAUCCUUCGUGGACUGAAGCGUUAUUCGACGCAACAGGGUGUCUCCAUGCGCAGCCACAACGAUCGAAUUCCACAGGAACUCAAUUUUCUGGUUCUCAAAUGCUCGCUUCUGCAUGAUCUUCGACGCACGGAGCGUAUCGCGGCGAUGGAUAACGUACACUCGACUCGCAUAGCGCGUGAGAAAGAGCGCCUCUUCCAAUGCAGUAUCACCACCACCGACUACAGCGAUCGGCUUACCUCGAAAGAUAGGUGCGGCGCCGUCACAAACCGCACAAGCAGAGAUACCGCGCUGCCAGAAGCCACCCUCACCACUGCCAGCACCAGGAAAGUCCAUGCGUUUCGCCACCGCACCAGUGGCGAUGAUCACGCUUGCAGCUAGGACCACGUGCUGACUGCUGUAUAUUCGGAAGGGGCGGCUCUGGAGAUCCACGCUUUCAACAGUUUCCGUCAGGAUCUUCGUCCCAUGCACCUGAGACUGUUUUCGAAACCGAUCCAUCAGCUCGAAGCCGCUGAUUCCCUCUGGGAAGCCCGGAUAGUUUUCGACGUCAGUCGUUGUCGUAAGUUGCCCUCCGGCUGCGAUCCCGUUUGCAAGCAUGCCUUCGAACAUGAUUGGUCUCAGUUGCGCGCGAGCUGCAUAAAUUGCAGCAGUGUGCCCCGCGGGACCCGAACCGAUGACGCACAACGGCGUUACCAGCGGUACUGCGGAGCCGUUUGCAAGAGACCCGUUCCGCGCGCCUUGCUCGUCGCUCAUGUGUGCGUUUGGUCGCCUGAAAACACGAAUCCCCAAGUAACUGUUAUUUCCAGGAUGUAUGCUUGUCCAAGUCAAGCUCCCAAAGCGCCUGAGCAGCAACGUUUCGGAAUAGUGUACGGUUUCACGCACUCCGCUCUGGAUACACCAGUAAAGAAGCUGGUAACGCGGGAAUCCCAUGGGGUGAUCAGUAAGCGCGCGACGGCGGACGGAGGCGCGCUCGAUCGGCACCGCCACGUUCACGAACGAGUGGCUUGCAGCAGCGCCUCCACUACGGGGAGGUCGCGGAGCUUGUCGGCCCUUGAGCCCAGUCUUUACCAAGGACAGGUACCGAUCGUUCACAGCUUAGAUCCAGUGGGAUGUUGCUUGGUGAUGAACGUAGGGUUCUCUGGGAUGGAAACGACAGCAGAUAACCUCGCCGCAGCUGGGAGCGGGGUGCGCUGCGCUUCAGCUCUUCCACAGCUCCCGCUCAUGAGCGUUUAUUGCGUGGUGCAUUCGGUUCUAUCGUGAAGCGAUCGUGACAGCUCAGUAGCGCGAUCCUGUGCAUGCUUUGUGUGAGUCUAAGUUUCCACGUCCUGAGCGUGCUCAGCGCGUUGAUAUCGACGUUUUGGCAGAUGUCGGCAUUCGAUAACGUCGGAAUCUCCUCGCACGCCCAAUUGUAGCGUGUUCUGCUGCCUGCACUGCAUAUAUCGGCAUUGGAUGGACGUGGUGCGUUCAUGAUGCGGGACAUUCCAUCUACCUAGUGACGGUGGUUGCGCUCAGGCAGCGCGGGUGUGUUGCUCCGACAGCUUUCAGAAACGGCACUAGUGUAACUCGGGUUGUAAAGCAUGCCGAGGAACCACAGGGCUCUGUAACGCCGAA